rnacentral:misc_RNA from 1 species
GCAAACUUGGUCAUUUAGAGGAAGUAAAAGUCGUAACAAGGUCUCCGUUGGUGAACCAGCGGAGGGAUCAUUACAGGAAUCGCAAGAUCUCCCUGAAACCCUCGUGAACCUACCGAAACGUUGCCUCGGCGGGCGCCCAGCUCUCUGCCGGGCGUUCAGCCCGCCGGCGGCCCCAUACUCUGUCUCUGCAGCGUGGCAUCUCGAGCAAAACACAAAUGAAUCAAAACUUUCAACAACGGAUCUCUUGGUUCUGGCAUCGAUGAAGAACGCAGC